rnacentral:rRNA from 1 species
UACGAAGGGGGCUAGCGUUGCUCGGAAUCACUGGGCGUAAAGCGCACGUAGGCGGCUUUCUAAGUCAGGGGUGAAAUCCUGGAGCUCAACUCCAGAACUGCCUUUGAUACUGGAGAGCUUGAGUCCGGGAGAGGUGAGUGGAACUCCGAGUGUAGAGGUGAAAUUCGUGGAUAUUCGGAAGAACACCAGUGGCGAAGGCGGCUCACUGGCCCGGUACUGACGCUGAUGUGCGAAAGCGUGGGGAGCAAACAGG